UACGGGGGGUGCGAGCGUUGUCCGGAAUCACUGGGCGUAAAGGGCGCGUAGGUGGUCUGAUAAGGGUGUGGUGAAAGCCCGGGGCUCAACCCCGGGUCGGCCGUGCCGACUGUUAGACUAGAGUGCUGUAGGGGCAGGCGGAAUUCCGGGUGUAGCGGUGGAAUGCGUAGAGAUCCGGAGGAACACCAGUGGCGAAGGCGACUACCUGGCCUGUUCUUGACGCUGAGGCGCGAAAGCUAGGGGAGCAAACGGG
rnacentral:rRNA from 1 species